rnacentral:rRNA from 1 species
CCUACGGGAGGCAGCAGUGGGGAAUAUUGCGCAAUGGACGAAAGUCUGACGCAGCAACGCCGCGUGAGGGAUGACGGCCUUCGGGUUGUAAACCUCUUUCAGCAGGGACGAAGCGAGAGUGACGGUACCUGCAGAAGAAGGACCGGCCAACUACGUGCCAGCAGCCGCGGUAAUACGUAGGGUCCGAGCGUUGUCCGGAAUUAUUGGGCGUAAAGGGCUCGUAGGCGGUUCGUCACGUCGGGAGUGAAAACUCGGAGCUCAACUCCGAGCCUGCUUCCGAUACGGGCAGACUAGAGGUAGGCAGGGGAGAGCGGAACUCCUGGUGUAGCGGUGGAAUGCGCAGAUAUCAGGAAGAACACCGGUGGCGAAGGCGGCUCUCUGGGCCUUACCUGACGCUGAGGAGCGAAAGCGUGGGUAGCGAACAGGAUUAGAUACCCUGGUAGUCCACGCCGUAAACGUUGGGCGCUAGGUGUGGGGGACAUUCCACGUCCUCCGUGCCGCAGCUAACGCAUUAAGCGCCCCGCCUGGGGAGUACGGCCGCAAGGCUAAAACUCAAAGGAAUUGACGGGGGCCCGCACAAGCGGCGGAGCAUGCGGAUUAAUUCGAUGCAACGCGAAGAACCUUACCUGGGUUUGACAUAUAGGGAAAUCCUCCAGAGAUGGGGGGUCCGUAAGGGUCCUAUACAGGUGGUGCAUGGCUGUCGUCAGCUCGUGUCGUGAGAUGUUGGGUUAAGUCCCGCAACGAGCGCAACCCUCGUCCUAUGUUGCCAGCACGUUAUGGUGGGGACUCAUAGGAGACUGCCGGGGUCAACUCGGAGAGGGUGGGGGAUGACGUCAAGUCGUCAUGCCCCUUUAUGUCCAGGGCUUCACGCAUGCUACAAUGGCCGGUACAAAGGGCUGCGAAACCGCAAGGUGAGCGAAUCCCAAAAGCCGGUCUCAGUUCGGGAUUGGGGGUCUGCAACUCGACCUCAUGAAGUCGGAAUCGCUAGUAAUCGCAGAUCAGCACGCCGCGGUGACUACGUUUCCCGG